GCCAAAUGAUGUAAAGUAGCUGACAUUAGCACUGUGUGCGAAGAUGACUUAAAUCUAUCACCCAAUACUGAUGGCU
ensembl:snoRNA SNORD83 Small nucleolar RNA SNORD83